GGCGGCGUGCUUAACACAUGCAAGUCGAGCGGAAAGGCCCUUCGGGGUACUCGAGCGGCGAACGGGUGAGUAACACGUGAGUAACCUGCCCUAGGCUUUGGGAUAACCCUCGGAAACGGGGGCUAAUACCGGAUAUUCAUGCUGGACGGCAUCGUCUGGUGUGGAAAGUUUUUCGGCCUGGGAUGGGCUCGCGGCCUAUCAGCUUGUUGGUGGGGUGAUGGCCUACCAAGGCGACGACGGGUAGCCGGCCUGAGAGGGCGACCGGCCACACUGGGACUGAGACACGGCCCAGACUCCUACGGGAGGCAGCAGUGGGGAAUAUUGCACAAUGGGCGGAAGCCUGAUGCAGCGACGCCGCGUGAGGGAUGAAGGCCUUCGGGUUGUAAACCUCUUUCGACAGGGACGAAGCGUGAGUGACGGUACCUGGAGAAGAAGCGCCGGCCAACUACGUGCCAGCAGCCGCGGUAAGACGUAGGGCGCGAGCGUUGUCCGGAUUUAUUGGGCGUAAAGAGCUCGUAGGCGGCUUGUUGCGUCAGCUGUGAAAACCCGCAGCUCAACUGUGGGCUUGCAGCUGAUACGGGCAGGCUUGAGUUCGGUAGGGGAGACUGGAAUUCCUGGUGUAGCGGUGAAAUGCGCAGAUAUCAGGAGGAACACCGGUGGCGAAGGCGGGUCUCUGGGCCGAUACUGACGCUGAGGAGCGAAAGCGUGGGGAGCGAACAGGAUUAGAUACCCUGGUAGUCCACGCUGUAAACGUUGGGCGCUAGGUGUGGGGGGCCUCUCCGGUUCUCUGUGCCGCAGCUAACGCAUUAAGCGCCCCGCCUGGGGAGUACGGCCGC
rnacentral:rRNA from 1 species